GGAUUACCUCAGUAACGGCGAGUGAAGCGGUAACAGCUCAAAUUUGAAAUCUGGCUCUUUCAGGGUCCGAGUUGUAAUUUGUAGAAGAUGCUUUGGGUGUGGCCCUGGUCUAAGUUCCUUGGAACAGGACGUCAUAGAGGGUGAGAAUCCCGUAUGUGACUAGGUGCUUUCGCCCGUGUAAAGCUCUUUCGACGAGUCGAGUUGUUUGGGAAUGCAGCUCAAAAUGGGUGGUAAAUUUCAUCUAAAGCUAAAUAUUGGCCAGAGACCGAUAGCGCACAAGUAGAGUGAUCGAAAGAUGAAAAGCACUUUGGAAAGAGAGUUAAACAGUACGUGAAAUUGUUGAAAGGGAAGCGCUUGCAACCAGACUUAGUUGCGGCCGAUCAUCUAGGGUUCUCCCUGGUGCACUCGGUCGUAAGUAGGCCAGCAUCGGUUUGGGUGGUGGGAUAAAGGCCUUGGGAAUGUAGCUUCUUUCGGGGAGUGUUAUAGCCCUCGGUGCAAUGCCGCCUACCUGGACCGAGGACCGCGCUUCGGCUAGGAUGCUGGCGUAAUGGUUGUAAGCGACCCGUCUUGAAACACGGACCAAGGAGUCUAACAUCUAUGCGAGUAUUUGGGUGUUAAACCCAUAUGCGUAAUGAAAGUGAACGGAGGUGAGAACCCUUAAGGGUGCAUCAUCGACCGAUCCUGAUGUCUUCGGAUGGAUUUGAGUAAGAGCAUAGCUGUUGGGACCCGAAAGAUGGUGAACUAUGCCUAAAUAGGGUGAAGCCAGAGGAAACUCUGGUGGAGGCUCGCAGCGGUUCUGACGUGCAAAUCGAUCGUCAAAUUUGGGUAUAGGGGCGAAAGACUAAUCG
rnacentral:rRNA from 1 species